AUACGGAGGGUGCGAGCGUUAAUCGGAAUUACUGGGCGUAAAGCGCGCGUAGGCGGUUUGUUAAGUCAGCUGUGAAAGCCCCGGGCUUAACCUGGGAAUGGCAGUUGAUACUGGCGAGCUAGAGUGUGGUAGAGGGGUGUGGAAUUUCCGGUGUAGCAGUGAAAUGCGUAGAGAUCGGAAGGAACACCAGUGGCGAAGGCGGCACCCUGGACCAACACUGACGCUGAGGUGCGAAAGCGUGGGGAGCCAACAGGAUUAGAUACCCUGGUAGUCCACGCUGUAAACGAUGAGAACUAGCCGUUGGGCACAAUCGAGUGUUUAGUGGCGCAGCUAACGCGAUAAGUUCUCCGCCUGGGGAGUACGGCCGCAAGGUUAAA
rnacentral:rRNA from 1 species